rnacentral:rRNA from 1 species
UAAGGAAUAUUGGUCAAUGGACGCAAGUCUGAACCAGCCAUGCCGCGUGGAGGAUGAAGGUCCUCUGGAUUGUAAACUUCUUUUAUCGGAGAAGAAACCCCGACAUUCUUGUUGGGUUGACGGUACCCGAUGAAUAAGCACCGGCUAACUCCGUGCCAGCAGCCGCGGUAAUACGGAGGGUGCAAGCGUUAUCCGGAUUCACUGGGUUUAAAGGGUGCGUAGGUGGGCUAGUAAGUCCGUGGUGAAAUCCCCGAGCUUAACUCGGGAACUGCCGUGGAUACUAUUAGUCUUGAAUAUCGUGGAGGUAAGCGGAAUAUGUCAUGUAGCGGUGAAAUGCUUAGAUAUGACAUAGAACACCGAUAGCGGAGGCAGCUUACUACGCGAUUAUUGACACUGAGGCACGAAAGCGUGGGGAUCAAACAGG